rnacentral:lncRNA from 10 species
GUUCCGGGAACCCUGUCUUCCUUCCGGUGGUGGCUGAGGGCUCGUGCUCGAGGCUGAGGGAUGCUGGUGACUCCCGGGGUCCCCAGCCCCGCCCCCAUCGGACGCCUCCACAGGCGGCGCACCCUUUCCGCCAUCCGCAGAGCAAGGCUGCCUCGGGGCGGCUCAGUCCGGCGCUUCUUACCUUACCUCCGUCUCAUCCUUAACUCACCACGAGCGUCCAGGGUCCACAUCCUCCUAAAUGGCCACUCGUCUUAAUCUCGGCGUCAGGACCCACGCGGGGUCAGGACUACCCCUCCGCUUCCAUGACUGUCUCCUCGCGGCUCCGGCUCCCACGGAGCGACCCCUCCGGGUUUUACUGACCCCGGGAUGUUGUAUCCUGGAAACUGCAGUUCCACCCAGGGGCUUGAUCUGGGUUAGUCUGGGGGCAAGUGAGCCGCCGAUUCUGUUUGGGUUUUUUUUUUUUUUUUUUUGAGACGGAGUUUCCCUCUUGUUGCCCGGGCUGGAGUGCAAUGGCGCGAAGUCGGCUCAACGCAACCUCCGCCUCCCAGGGGCGACUACUCAGGUGUCCAUCGCCAUGCACAUGUGACACAGAAAAGGGUGAGGCGAGGAGGGGGAACGCUGGAAAUUGUUUCACGGAAAAGGGCGAGGCAAGGGAGGGGAACACUGGAACUUGUGCUUUGGGUAGGCGAUAGCUAAGGAUUCUCUCUCGUCUGGGUCACGGAGAUUGUGCAGCCACAGAACACCUGGUGUCAUCAGGGCCUGAGCUCCUCCCUUCUACAAAGACCUCUGGUCUGCAGGCCUGCAGGUACAGUGCUGUGGGCCACAAGGCACUGCCUGUCGUAUUCAUCUCCACUCUCUAGCACAUCUGGCCUCACGCCACCCCCGGGAGGCCGGCAGGCAGAUAUCAGCUCCACUUCCCAGAUAAGCAAGGGAGCCAGGUACUACCCAGGGUCUUGGGGGCCACACCGCUGGCGAGGGACAGGCUGGGCCUGGCAGACAGCACUGGCAGUCGGUGAAGUGCCCACCUCAGUGUCAGCCUCAGGUCCUGACCCUGGAGGCUGCUGUUACUGAGCUGUGGGGACCAGGAUGCCCUACCAUGAUGGAGACCCAAGCCUCUCUCAUGAUGACUAUUCCCAAGGGCACUGCAGAGGGGAGGAGCUGUCUCCUCCUCCGUGUGGCCCACGCAGAGCCCCCGCUAGACAGCAGGAGCACCCUGCUCUGUCAGCCUGCUUCCCCAGGACGGAGGCCCUGGUGGUAAGGCAGGCAGGUCUUGAGCCCCCACAAGACAGCAGGAUACAACAUAACCCUUUUUAAUCUGAAGUGUAGACUUCAUCCUCACGUUAGAAAACUCCAUCUUUUUUUU